rnacentral:pre_miRNA from 1 species
AGGUCUCUCUUGCUAGACCAGAUCUGAGCCUAGGAGCUCUCUGGCUAGUUAAGGAACCCAC